rnacentral:rRNA from 1 species
AACGCGAAGAACCUUACCUACCCUUGACAUCCUGCGAAGCUAGCUGAGAGGCUGGUGUGCCGAAAGGAACGCAGAGACAGGUGCUGCAUGGCUGUCGUCAGCUCGUGUUGUGAGAUGUUGGGUUAAGUCCCGUAACGAGCGCAACCCUUGUCCUUAGUUGCCAGCAUUUAGUUGGGGACUCUAAGGAGACUGCCGGUGAUGAACCGGAGGAAGGUGGGGACGACGUCAAGUCAUCAUGGCCUUUAUGGGUAGGGCUACACGCGUGCUACAAUGGGGCGUACAGAGGGUCGCAAACCCGUGAGGGGAAGCUAAUCUCACAAAGCGUCUCGUAGUCCGGAUUGGAGUCUGCAACUCGACUCCAUGAAGUUGGAAUCGCUAGUAAUCGCGAAUCAGCAUUGUCGCGGUGAAUACGUUCCCGGGCCUUGUACACACCGUAGUAC